GCCACGUGAAGCCAGACACAAUGGCUACACUAAUCUUUGGGCUGGAGUAGCCUGUGGUUUUUAAGGCUUCGUGUCUCAUCGCGUUAAACGAUCGCAGAACGAUUUAUUUCUCUUUUUCACCUCGAUCUUUGGCCUCGUGUGAUUUACCAAAACCAACAUGUGAAGUUACAACGCUGACGAAGGAGUUUCAUCAGUAGAGUGUGUCCUGGUAAACGUGUGCUCGGAAACAUGCAGAUUACAGUAUUUACAGAGCCGACCUUGAGGCACCCACUGAUGGAUAAUCUGUUUACCUAAAAACAGCACUUCAGGAGAAACCUGCCUGUGAUCUGCUAAGAUGCACAGAUUCAACUCUGGCCCAUUGUCAUCCCAACACCUCAUCUGCCAUCAGUUUCGUUUAGUGUCGGUCUAUUGCAAAAGUUCUUAUAAACUUUAAAUGAGACUUUGUGUUAAGCAGGGGUUUCCAAACUUUUCAUUCCACAACAUAUUAAGCCCAGGAUACACAGCAGGAUUUUUGCAAUCCAAUAAGACCUUAUCACACUGUGUGACAAGGAUUGUUUAAACUUCAGCAGUAGACUGUCGAUGAAGACACCUAUUGCAUCUGAAGCUGCGACAUCUGUCAUCAACAUGCGCUAGUGGUAAACAAAUACAGGUUUGCAGAUCGUAGAAGCAAACACAUUGUUGAUGUGCGAUGAUCAUGCUGAACUUCUUACACUGUCAUAAAACUAUCGUAGGUGUCUUUGGUCCCAGGACUGGGAAAACAGACGUCUUUAAACCUCUCACACUGUAUGAGAUAGGACCACCAAUUAAAGGUGCUCUAAGCGAAUUGAAGCGUUUUAGACCAUAAAACAUUUUUUGUUACAUACCGGAAACAUCUCCUCACUAUCUGCUUGCUGCCUGUCCGCUGAUCAAACUGUAAAAAAACGCGAUCUCUGUAGACAGCCCAGGCUUCACAAACGGCAAUAUCAACAAAUGGCCAAACCUAGCCAGCACAAAACUAAACAAAGUAUUCCAGCCAAUAAACGACAAGAAGGAUUUGGGGGUGGGGGUUGGGCGCGUUUAUGAA